CUCAUUGAUUCUUCGAGUUGAGAGAGAGAGAGAGAGAGAGAGAGAGAGAGAGAGACGAUAUAGACAGAUCAAAUUUUCCGAAACAUUUAAGAUCUGUUGUCGUUGGUCUCAAUUGAUCAACUCCUGAUUCUUGUGAUAAUGGACAAGAUAGGAUGGGAAACAAGGUUCUACAACUGUAAACGGGAGUAGUAUACUAGCUAGGUUAAUUCUGAUUCCUAGUCAAAACGGUGCUAUUCUCGCAAUUCAGACGAGAUCUACUCGGAGGAGAUAUCUGAGUUACAAAUUUUGCCCAGACCCAUUUGUGCCUGAUAAUUGAAGUGUGAGAAGUGAGUUAGCUCAUGUGUGUACCCAAGUCUACGGCGAGGUGGAGAAAGCCCCAGGAGAGAGGGAAGAACAACAUGAGGUUGUUUAGUGAGACAGAUCGAAGCAGGAUACACAAUACGUUUGUUGUUUUUUGCUAACCGAUCGAUACAAUACGUUUGUUCUGCACAAAUGAGAACAUCAUGUGGAUGCUUGGAGUGAGAGGAGAAGAAGAUAACAAGUAGUGAAUGGAAGCGUAAGGGGGCAUGAUGGAAAUAUAAGGUUUGAUUAGUAGUGAAUGGGAUAUGCAUGGUUGGAUUAGAGCUGAUGAGUGGGUCAAGGGUGUCUUCAGGCAGUGGUUGAGUUUUGGUGCCUUAUGAAGAUGACAACAUAAAUGAUUAUGCAGGGUAUCUCUGGCAUAAUUGUGUAUGUUGAAUGAUUUAUGCUUGGCUGCCUUUUAAUUUGCAGUCUUUCAUUUCCAAGAGGAAUUAACGGGAUUGCAUUGUUAUUUUGGGUGGUUUAUUUUUUAUUUUUUUUCCCUUUUCAUAUGCCCCACCCCUUUUUUGAUGUACCCUUGUCGAGUUUUAUUUAUAAACUUUUUUUUUUUUUUUUUGGUCAUCAAUAAAAAAUAAUGCUUUGGAUAA